AGAGUUUGAUCCUGGCUCAGGAUGAACGUUGGUAGCAUGCCUAACACAUGCAAGUCGAGCGGAAAGUAGCAAUACUUUUAGCGGCGAACGGGUGAGUAAUACUUAUCUUACCUGCCGUUUAGUGGGGGAUAUCCAAAGGAAGCUUUGGCUAAUACCGCAUAUUCUGGUUUCGACCAGGAAAGGACUUCGGUUCGCUAAAUGAUGGGGAUAAGGCGUAUUAGCUUGUUGGUGGGGUAAUGGCCUACCAAGACAAUGAUGCGUAGCCGGCCUGAGAGGGUGAUCGGCCACAAGGGAACUGAAACACGGUCCCUACUCCUACGGGAGGCAGAAGUGGGGAAUUUAUGGCAAUGGACGAAAGUCUGACCAAGCAAUACUACGUGAAGGAGGAAGGUCUGCGGAUUGUAAACUUCUAUGUGUAUGUAGAGAUACUUACACUGAAAAAGUCACGACUAACUAUGUGCCAGCAGUCGCGGUAAGACAUAGGUGGCGAACGUUAUCCGGAAUUAUUGGGCGUAAAGGGUGCGUAGAUGGUUUGAAAAGUUAGCGGUGGGAAAUCGAGGCUCAACCUCGUGGAAGUCGUUAAUACUAUCAAACUAGAGUGCAGGAGAGGUUAACGGAACUCCCCGUGGAGCGGUGAAAUGCAUAGAUAUGGGGAAGAACACCAAUAAUGGCGAAGGCAGUUAACUAUUCUACUACUGACAUUGAGGCACGAAAGCGUGGGGAGCAAAAAGGAUUAGAUACCCUUGUAGUCCACGCCCUAAACGAUGAGUACUAGAUGUUGGGAACUUGAUUCUCAGUGUCGCUAGUUAACACGGUAAGCACUCCGCCUGGGUAGUACGGUCGCAAGGCUGAAACUCAAAGGAAUUGACGGGGACUCGCACAAGCAGUGGAGCAUGUGGUUUAAUCCGAUACGACGCGUAGAACCUUACCAAGGCUUGACACGUUCGGCAAAACUCGGGAAACCUAGUGGAGGUUAUCCGAACACAGGUGCUGCAUGGCCGUCGUCAGUUCGUGCCGUGAGGUGUAUGGUUAAGUCCUAUAACGAACGCAACCCUUGAACUUAGUUACCAGCAUUCAGUUGGGGACCCUAAGUUGACUGCCCGAGUAAUCGGGAGGAAGGAAAGGAUGACGUCUGGUCGUCAUGGCCCUUAUGUCUUGGGCGACACACGUGCUACAAUGGUUAAGACAAAGCGUUGCCAACCCGCGAGGGGGAGCCAAUCGCAAAAAAUUAACCUCAGUUCGGAUUGGAGGCUGUAACUCGCCUCCAUGAAGUUGGAAUUGCUAGUAAUCGCAAAUCAGCCAUGUUGCGGUGAAUACGUUCUCGAGUCUUGUACACACCGCCCAUCAAAUCACGAAAGUCGGUAAUGCUUGAAACCAACUAACUAACCCGCAAGGAAGGUAGUUGACAAGGGUAGGACUGGCAAUUGGGGUUAAGUCGUAACAAGGUAGCCGUAG
rnacentral:rRNA from 1 species